UACGUAGGAAUCUGCCUGGCAAUGGGGGACAACUUGGGGAAACUCAAGCUAAUACCGCAUACGCCCUACGGGGGAAAGCGGGGGAUCUUCGGACCUCGCGUUGUUAGAUGAGCCUACGUCCGAUUAGCUAGUUGGUAGGGUAAAGGCCUACCAAGGCGACGAUCGGUAGCUGGUCUGAGAGGACGACCAGCCACACUGGGACUGAGACACGGCCCAGACUCCUACGGGAGGCAGCAGUGGGGAAUAUUGGACAAUGGGGGAAACCCUGAUCCAGCAAUGCCGCGUGUGUGAAGAAGGCCUGCGGGUUGUAAAGCACUUUCGGUGGGGAGGAAAAGCUGAGAGCUAAUACCUUUCAGUGUUGACGUUACCCAAAGAAGAAGCACCGGCUAACUCUGUG
rnacentral:rRNA from 1 species